GACGAGGGGCCCGAGCGUUAUUCGGAAUCACUGGGCUUAAAGCGUGCGCAGGCGGAUCGGCAGGCAUCUCGUGAAAUCCCCCGGCUCAACCGGGGAAUUGCGGGGUGAACCGCCGGUCUUGAGGCGGGUAGGGGCGGACGGAACCAUGCGUGGAGCGGUGAAAUGCUUAGAUAUGCAUGGGAACACCGAUGGCGAAGGCAGUCCGCUGGGCCCGUCCUGACGCUCAGGCACGAAAGCGUGGGGAGCAAACAGG
rnacentral:rRNA from 1 species